GAGUGGCAAAAUUACCACUUUACCCCUAGAUAGUGAAAUUUUCAGUUUGACUCCAAAUUGAUCGUCGAACUCCAAAUCACCAUUUUAAAGCAUUCCUGAACUAUAAAAUUUUUAAUUUCACCCUAAAAUCUCUAUUUGAUCUAGUUCGAAACUUAAAUCAACUUUGUUGUACCUCUAGGUACAAUAUUGACUUUUGUAAAUUUUUCGGAACUCUCCUUGCAUGUAAACAUGCUAUCCAUCACAUGUAUGUCAUGACAAGUAUUUUAUAAGGUCAGGCUUUACAGCACUACCCCCCUUAAAAUAAAAUUUUGACCUCAAAAUUUCAAUUAUCGGAUUCCAAGAAAAUAUGUGGAUAUUGGUCUCUCAUCUGGUGCUCGACUUCCCACGUCAUCUCUUCCAUUCGAGCAUUCUGUGGCAUCCCCCUCGAGGGCCCACUCCAAGGUAUUGUUACAUCCGGGUCCCCAUCACUUGACUACUCGUAUUCGCCACUCCUAAGGGUGGCACGACAGGCCCUACAAGACCUUCUCGCCAAGCUUCGAACCCGAUACCUUUUUCUCCUUCCGAAAGGAACGCCUUUAACCAUUGGGAUGUUUUUAUUCCUCAACACUCGAUCCUUUCGAUCUAGAAUACACACAGGUUGCAUCUAAGUCAAAUCAUCCUUAAAUCAUCAAUCAUGCAUGUUUACUUAACUAUCCACAAUUUCUCUACCUCGACCUUUUAUUAAACCUUCCCACAUUCAAACAUUUAUUUCACCAUUAAUUAUGGGUCUAAAUGGUCAACCAGCUUCUAUUCCGUUUUACAUACCUCCCUACAAAUUCUAUUCAAGCAUUUCAUAAUACAUAAGGAUCAAACACCUUUUAUUUAUCCAUAUAUAUUUAACAUCACAGAUAAUCUAAAUUUGGUAACCAUUAGUAACCAUAUUCUCAAAAAGAAACUCUCGUAUUUAUUUAUUUUAUGAUCAAGUACUUAUUAAGUAGAUCUCAACUAUUACCACCAUACAUUUAAAUAAAUAAACAUACUUUUGGAUGUAUCCUUAUGGACUUAAUCAAUCCUUAAAAUUCCUAGGUCAUAACCAAUUAGUUAGUUAUACGUCACAUACAAACAUAUUCAACUUGUGAUUCCUCAAAAUUACAUUCAGAUGCUAGAUCUCAUGGCCUCAUUAGUUUAUCAAUCUGGAAAUGAAAAUAAACAUUUAUCUCCCCUCAUGUACACUUUAAAAUCAAAGUAUCAUUUAUUAAGAUCUUUCUGAUAUCAACUUCCUUCAGUCCCUUUUUCCUUUGAAGAUUAAUCCAUAAUUAAUCAUUUUGAGUCAUGGGCUUAUGCCAAUCAAGGCAGAUUUUCACACCUUUGAUUACAUGAAUUCAAUUGCACAUAUUCACCUAUAAGCUAUAAACUUUUCCCCAAAUCUUUAUAUAUCAAAACUGAUAUAUUAUUUAUAUCAUUUCCAAAUCAUAUGCUUGAGUUUCAUCAUGCUAUAUCCUCACAUCACAAUGUCAUUAAUCACAUCUCACUUGCUAAAUGUCACUUAAAAACUUAGACUGAUUCGAAUCAUGCAUGCCUUAAGCAUUUUCAAAUUCUAAUUUUCAUACUACCUUAGGAAAUUUUCAUUAUCAAGCUUCAUUAUCCAAAUCAUCUUCAUUCAUCCUUUGUUAUGUUCUUCCACACUAAUGUGAUAUCAUUCUCCCUAGACCAAUCUGCCGUUUGUACUUAAAACUGUAAGACUUGAAAUAAGGUUCUUCAAAGUACUUUUCAAUGUCAAUACGAAUUUCUCUUCCAACUUACGGCUUCCUCUUUACAGCCACAUAACUUAAUGCUAGCUUCCACAAAAUUCCUAGCAAAACUCUUCUUGAGUAUUUCCUUGGGAAUAUCUAUCUUAGACUUAUGUCUCACAACAUAAGAUCAUUUAACUUGUGACUUAGCCGUUAGGCUCCUCAACAAGUUUUAAAGUCACGCAUCUUAUGCUCAUCAUGUAUAACUUAUAAUUCUUUCUUAAAGGCGUUUAAACAUUCUUGAAACACUUAAUCACUUAUUUGCUCUCUUAUACACCAAGUAUAUCAUUUCCAUAAAGGCAUGCCCAACUACUCAUGCUUCAAUUUAUCUCCGAGGGUUUCUAGCAUGUCACCUAGUUUACUUGUGUUGUUACUAAUCCUUUCCUUUCAACAAGGUCAAGACAAGAUCAAUAUAUUCUCAUAAUAAUAUUCUAUAUCAACUCAUUUGCUAUAUCAUUAUUGAAAUCUUUAUUUUCAUUUUCCUCACUUGGUAUUGACAUCUCUUAUCAGUAUCUCAUACAUUCAUCUAACCUUUCGCUCGCUUCCUCAUUAGUCUUUAACAAGACUUAAUCUCUUGUCUUCCUUAUUUAUUAAGAUUUGACUUCAGUCAUCAUAUUAUUCAUCUUAAUACCUCCCCAAUGCACUUAAAAUUCCAAACAACAAAGCUUAGCAUCAAAACCAAUGACCAUUCUUCAACUCGUGAGUUUCAUCUUCAUGCCACUCUUAAUUUGCUCAUGCUUUCUAGCCAUUAGGGGUUCUUAACGCGACAGCAUUUGAUAGUCAAUAUUGUGGCGUUGCAACUGUUUGAAUUCACUUUAUCCCAGCAACUCUUCUACCUUUAAAGCUACUACCUCAAUUAUUCACAAUCAUGUGGCUUCCCUCUAAGUCUAUACCACAAUUAGCAAGACUAACUUUCUAUCACAAUUAUGUGAUCAGAACAUUGAUUUAACGUAUUUAUUUUGCCACUAGCAUUCCUGUAUCUUUACCAAAACAUUUAGUACGAGUUUGCUUAAGCAAAAAUCUCCAAAUCUAUUCAUAGCUACAUGUAUUUCAGAUUGCACAUCACUUAUCAUCAAUCAAUAAAUCCCACUUGAGAAUACUCUUUCCAUAUUGUAUAGUGACUUCACCAUAUAGUAUCACGACACUAUGUUCCUCCAUUCUACUAUCACGCAUACUCCACAAAAAUUAAUUAAAAGAUUUACGUACCUUAACUAAUGCUAAUUCCAUUUAAUCAUAUCUUAAAUACUCCAAACUUGUAAAUUACAACUCCAAGUGUAUGUCCAUAUGUUGAUAAUCUUUAUAUAUUUCAUGAUUAUGAAAACUACAACUUACAAACUAGCUUUAUAUUAUAUGCACACUAUUAGAACAUUAAUUUCAACAUGUUUAAUUCUCCUUUGGUGGUAUGUUAAGAUCAUUCCUGGAUACAUUUCCAUAAUAACAUUGAUAUACCUUUAUCAUAGCAUUUAGUGCAAAUUUGAUGAAGGAAUUGUCUCCAAAUAACUCUUAAAUACAUAAUUAUCAAAUUAUAUACCACUAAAUGUUAAGAUCUAGACUUUACUCAUCUAUAACCAAUCACAUUUAUUAAGUGAAUAAUUUACUUAGUUAUUACGCCUUGCCUUUGCGAUUACAAGAUCAAAGUUGUCCUAAACUUAGGAUGCAGAAGUUCUCUCUCUUAAAGUAUAUCCAAAUAUCAACAUUUUCUAAAUUCCUUACUCUAAGGAGAUCACCUUCAAGACUGAUCAUUCGUGUCAUAAGCCACACUUUAAACUGAAUAAACUUUUAUAUUGAUCUUUCAAGUAAUUCGUAUAUCAAUCUCAAUUAUAAAACUUCAUAGGGCACUUAGACUAGAUUCGACAUUUCCAAGUCAUUUAACCUCAAGCUGCCAAUUCUACAUGUAGUCCUUUAAUCCCUUGGCUCCCCUUGCUAUGCAUAGCAAAGUUCAAGCUCAUCCUUAGAGUAUAUUUGUUUACUAACUUCUUACUUCAUAACCACACAUCAAUUAUAGUGAUCAUUGAUACUCACUCUCGAGUUAAUUCACGUGCUUAUAUCCAUCAACUAUAAUAGAUCCAAUCAAUUCUUGAAAUCUCAUAGUCCCCAAAUCUUUUUCCAAUUGACAACCAUGAGUUCAAUUAUAAUCCCACCAAAUGAAUAAAUUAUCACGGCCUAUUAGUCUAACUCCAAAUUUCUCCAUCCUUAAUUGGAGGAAUAUAUCAUUUCAUUAAUCUUUCAUUAGGAACAUUCGUUUUAAGAUCUCUCUAACACUGUCUCGUGUCACGGGUGGAAUCUUAAACCCGAACAAUGGCCCUACUUAUGACCUUUGCAUGACAUUAACAAGGAAAUGGAUUACUGGGAACAGGAGUUCAUAUAGCUCCCAUAAGAUCUAUAACAAGAAACAGAACGAGUCUAAACAACUCCAAGUUCUACAUGCAGAUGCACGUAUUCUAUUCAACCUAACUUAACUUAACUCGGGGCCACACUGACACUGUAAAUUUUUAAAGCAACUUUAAGAUAACUUUAAACCCAAAAACUCUGAUCUUUAAAACCAAAAGCUCUGAUACCAACUGAAUUGUUAUGACCCGGUACUCCCUUCGAGCCCGUGACAACCGCCACGACGUCCUGAUCGACAUUCGUUUCCCGAAAUGCCAACCAGAACCCCGCAAGGCUUUAGUACCAUUUUUCUCAUCUCUCCUGUGAGUAAUCAUCGCCAAACCUUGUUUUUAAAGAAUUUUAAGUUUUUUCCCCAUUCAAAACUGUGGAAAAAUAAUUUUCACCUCACAGGGGCGAUUUCAUCAUUUUUUCUCAAAAUUUUUCGAACCCAACUAAAAAUGUAGUAGAUGAAAACACAUAUUUCAUGAUUUAAAAUAAAAUUUGGGUGUCUAAACAUUUAUUAAAAAUGAUAUUGCAACUAUUUGAAUAAAAUAAAAAUAUUCAAUAAAAUAUUCUAAUUUCUUGUAAAACAAUAUUUAUAGAAUCAUCGGUAAAUAAUUUUUAUAAUGUAAAAGCUAAAUAAAUUCAUACGUACUAUAAUAUAGAUAACCGAGAUAUGAAAUUUACUGUACAGUGACUCGUGGGCCCACAAGGAGAAAAAGUGCACAAAGGCAGCAAAUCUACAGUUUUUGGAGUAGUAAAGCCGACUAUAAUCCCUAAUGAUAUAUGCUAUCCACAAGCUACCUCGAGCCUGAAAUGGUUAAAAAGGAAGGUGGUGAGAUUAUAAAAUCCCAGUGAGUAAACAGAUACCAUCUAAACCAUCUAAAAUCGAGUAAAUGGAGACAGAUAAAAUAAUUUGGCAUACUAAAAUUCAUCACCUUUCAACUUGUUUCAAUUAAAUUAAUUCAUAUAAAUAGAACAAUUUACAUGGCUUAUGAAUUUCUUAAAACUUGGCUCAUGCCAAAAAUUAUUCUCAUACUUAGUUAUCAAGGAUACCUUGGCCGAGGACUAUCCCAAACUGAGUCCGCCAAGGCUAUUAAAAAGCUAUAUACUCAUAAAUCAUGUUUUUAUUUAGAAAAUAUAGUUGUUCCUUGGCGUUGGCUGAGUUCGCCCUCACGUGGUGGUUUGCCGUGAAGUGAACUCUAAAAGUUAUACCUCGAGAGUUACCCUACUCGCCUCUCCAACUGAGGUAAAAUAUGUCAGGAUUCUGUGCCCCUCUAAUAGGCUAGUCCACACAACCCAGCCCACUGCAGCAAGCAAUACCCACCAUACAAUAAAAUUUUUGACAGCAUGACAAGGUUAAUUUAAUACUACCCAGCCUGCAAAUAUAAAAUAGAACAAUUCAUACAGUUCACCAAAAACACAACCCAGCCAGUCAUGCCAACACAUUAACAUAAGUCAUCAAUUCAGAUCAUAAAUUUACAACACAUCAGGGGUCUCCAAUUACUCUAUUUUCAAAAUCAUCAUUCAAUUUCAAGACAAUUUAUAAAAUCUUUUCAUUUAAACACAUUUUGUUUAUAAACAUAAAGGUUUACCAUUUAAACCCAUUUUUCAUAAAAUCAUAAAAUCGGAUAAACACCACUUUAGAUAAUUAAGACGAUAGUAAGGUUACUCACUAUACUAGGAGUUAGAUAUACUCCUAUUUUCGAGUCUUCGGGCACAAUCUCUUUACCCUUAUUAGAGGGCUCACCACUUAUACAUCAUACGUGACACGAAUUUCAAUAAAUUGUGUCAAUUUAUCAUAAACUAUUUUGGGCUCUAUAAAUCUAUAUGAAUGCACGAAAUGUGAUACAAAAUGUCCAAAUAGCCGUUUAAAUACGGUAUUCGACCUAAUUCGCACUAUUCUCAAUGUAAUUGGCUAAAACCUCCAAUUUAACUCCAAAUCAAUUUCUUUCACUUUCUACACUCCAAUUGUACUUAAAAUACCUCAAUGACUGUGAAUAUGAUUCAAUUUAUCAGUCAGAACCAUAAAUCGCACAUGUCUAUACAUUAGGUAAAAAUUCAUAUUUUCAUGCCAAAGUUUCCCAUUAAAUUUCUAGCCUCACCAAUCAUUAAAUACCACCAAAAUAUCAUGAAAUAUUAUCAAUUUCAGCCUUAAUAUCCUCCCUAGAAAAUUCGGCCUCUUAUGGGUAAUGGGAGAAAAUGAAUUUUUCUUGUUGGCUUUUCUUGCUACAUAUCACUAACUAACUAAAAACACUAGAAUAUCUUAAAAUCUAACCAAAACAUCAUCAAAUUCUCUCUCCUAGGUGUUCGGGCAGCAAGAGGUUCAUCAUAAAAACUUGAUUUCUAAGCAUGGAAAAUGGAAAAGAAAGCAUGGGUAGUGUAAAUCACAAGUCAAAAUCAAGAAAUUUUACCUUUAUUAGCUUAAUCCCUUGAAAUCCCAUACUUUUUCUUCAAUUUUUCCACCUAAGAUUUGUGUUCUUUCCUUUCCUCUUCACUUCAUGCUUUGGCCGGCCAUAUGGG
rnacentral:lncRNA from 1 species